rnacentral:rRNA from 1 species
GACGAACGCUGGCGGCAGGCCUAACACAUGCAAGUCGAGCGGAGCGGCGGACGGGUGAGUAAGGCCUAGGAAUCUGCCUGGUAGUGGGGGAGAACGUCCGGAAAGGGGCGCUAACACCGCAUACUAUCAGAUGAGCCUAGGUCGGAUUAGCGAGUUGGUGGGGUAAAGGCCUACCAAGGCGACGAUCCGUAGCUGGUCGGAGAGGAUGAUCAGGCACACUGGAACUGAGACACGGUCCAGACUCCUACGGGAGGCAGCAGUGGGGAAUAUUGGACAAUGGGCGAAAGCCUGAUCCAGCCAUGCCGCGUGUGUGAAGAAGGUCUUCGGAUUGUAAAGCACUUUAAGUUGGGAGGCGUUACCAACAGAAUAAGCACCGGCUAACUCCGUGCCAGCAGCCGCGGUAAUAC